GUGGGGAGUCUUCCGCAAUGGACGAAAGUCUGACGGAGCGACGCCGCGUGAGUGAAGAAGGCCUUCGGGUCGUAAAGCUCUGUCAUCAGGGACGAACGGCCGGUGGAGUGGAAAGCCACCGGAUUGACGGUACCUGAGAAGGAAGCCACGGCUAACUACGUGCCAGCAGCCGCGGUAAUACGUAGGUGGCAAGCGUUGUCCGGAAUUAUUGGGCGUAAAGCGCGCGCAGGUGGGAUCUUAAGUCCAUUUUGAAAGUUCGGAGCUCAACUCCGUGAUGGGAUGGAAACUGGGAUUCUUGAGUACCGGAGAGGAAAGCGGAAUUCCCCGUGUAGCGGUGAAAUGCGUAGAUAUGGGGAGGAACACCAGUGGCGAAGGCGGCUUUCUGGACGGUGUCUGACACUGAGGCGCGAAAGCUAGGGGAGCGAACGGGAUUAGAAACCCGUGUAGUCC
rnacentral:rRNA from 1 species